rnacentral:rRNA from 1 species
AACGAACGCUGGCGGCAUGCCUAACACAUGCAAGUCGAACGAGACCUUCGGGUCUAGUGGCGCACGGGUGCGUAACGCGUGGGAAUCUGCCCUUGGGUUCGGAAUAACAGUUGGAAACGACUGCUAAUACCGGAUGAUGACGUAAGUCCAAAGAUUUAUCGCCCAGGGAUGAGCCCGCGUAGGAUUAGCUAGUUGGUGGGGUAAAGGCCUACCAAGGCGACGAUCCUUAGCUGGUCUGAGAGGAUGAUCAGCCACACUGGGACUGAGACACGGCCCAGACUCCUACGGGAGGGAGCAGGGGGGAAUAUUGGACAAUGGGCGAAAGCCUGAUCCAGCAAUGCCGCGUGAGGGAUGAAGGCCUUAGGGUUGUAAAGCUCUUUUACCCGGGAUGAUAAUGACAGUACCGGGAGAAUAAGCCCCGGCUAACUCCGUG